rfam:Salmo salar isolate Sally breed double haploid chromosome ssa05, whole genome shotgun sequence.
CUCCCUGUGGCUCAGUUGGUAGAGUAUGGUGUUUGCAACACCAGGGUUGUGGGUUUGAUUCCCACGGGGGGGC